GCAGCAGCUCCUCGCGGGACUCGAUCGUGUUUUCCGAACAUGUCUCGGUGUCUCUGGGGUCGGUUAGUGUCUCUUCCCGGAGGAAGACGGUUCUGCGGCGGGACUCGCUCGUGUCAGACUGGAUCAGAAUGAUGCUGAACAAACACUGAACAGACGCUGCUCUGCUGUCAGUGUGUGACACAUCAAUUAUCCUCCGAAGAAAAGCUGCUGUAUGAAAUGAACUGUGAUGAACACCUGAAUCUGUUCAUGAUGAACAUGAAGUCAUGUGUGCAGCUAUUGUCGUGUGCUGAAAUAAUCUAUUGAAGAGAAUGACAAGAGCUCCAGCACAAUGAGCGAGCGUUUCUAAAGCGUCGUGUUUGUCUGUCUGUCAGACGCUUUUGUCAGACGUGUCAGAUUCUCGCGCGCUGAUGAUUGUAAUCACUCACAUGAGAGACGCUCAUCAUCUGACUAAUGCUGAAGACCUCCAGAUGAACUUACAGGAUGCUUUUAUUUCAUGUGUGUUUGUAAAUGCUAAUUGUUUAUAAUGUCAUUUUAUAAAUGUAGCCUAAUAAUUAAUUAUGUGAAUUAAAUGUUUGUGUAUAAUCUAAAAAUAAUAAUUUGAUGGUGUUUUUUUAGGAGGAGUUUGAAAGCAUCCACUGCUUUUGUGUUUCUAAAAAUGGAUUGUAAUAACGAGAGUGAGAUUGUUUUUUUUUUUUUAAAGAUUUAUUUUUGUCUUUUAUUAUGAUAGGACAGUAAACAAACAGGAAGAGAGAGAGAGGGGGACGGAAUCAGGAAGGGUCCGCAAGCCGGGACUAGAACUCGGGUCACCCGAAGUGCAACGGCGCUAUAUGUCGGUGCUACCCACGAGGCUAUCGGGAUUUUUUUAAUACGUUUAUUUGUCCCUGGUUCUGUAACCAACAACAAAAAUAAGUCUCCACACACUCGCGGCGCUCGUGGCCUCUGGACUCCAGGCGUCUGUGGCUUCAGGCGAGCCGCGUCCUUCUCUCCGGGUGGAUGUAGCUCUGAUCUCUGGGAUGUCAGCGGGCAGCCGAACCUCUCGACCGCCGGAGGACUGGAGCUGAUUAGCAUUGCUCACAGGAGUCUGCGUGACUCCAGAAGUUUCACAGAGAGUGAAGAAGCUCAAAAACGCUGCUGUCCAAAGAACUGAAACUGAUGUUGGAGAUGUAGAAGGAAAGACGGUUCUCAGAACGUUCUGUGAUGUCUCUUUCGUUCGGCCCCUGGAGGAACAUCUGCAGUCAUACGGCGUGUGUUCAGGGACCGUCUGACACCUGCAGAGGUGAGAAACACCUGAUUCACUCGCAGCUCCAGAUCCGCCGGUGCAUGUGAAUGAUUCAUAAAAACUAAACACUACAGGUUAACAACGUCCAACUAAAACGUCUGAGAAAUAAAACGCUUCAUGAAUGAUGUUUUUGUGCUACAUUAUUAAAGACCAGAUAACUUUGAACCAACGUUCUAUUAACGUUACCGGAGAACGUUUUGAGAAUGUUAAUAAUCAGGAACGAUCUGUGUGAAUGAAUCUGCUGUUUCUUUGUGAUUCCUGCAAUAUUGUCUAUGAUUCUCAAGAGGUUGAAAACACACAC